UACGAAGGGGGCUAGCGUUGUUCGGAUUUACUGGGCGUAAAGCGCGCGUAGGCGGUUUGUUAAGUCAGAGGUGAAAUCCCGGAGCUCAACUCCGGAACUGCCUUUGAUACUGGCAAGCUAGAGUCCGGAAGAGGUGAGUGGAACUCCUAGUGUAGAGGUGGAAUUCGUAGAUAUUAGGAAGAACACCAGUGGCGAAGGCGGCUCACUGGUCCGGUACUGACGCUGAGGUGCGAAAGCGUGGGGAGCAAACAGG
rnacentral:rRNA from 1 species